rnacentral:miRNA from 1 species
GGUUUCUCUGUGUAGCUUUGGGGCCUAUCCUGGCACUCACUCUGAAGACCAGACUGGCCUCGAACUCACCGAGUUCUGCCUUCCUCUGCCUCCCGAGUGCUGGGAUUAAAGGCAUGUGCCACCAAUGCCC